UACAGAGGGUGCAAGCGUUUAAUCGGAAUUACUGGGCGUAAAGCGUGCGCAGACGGUUGCGUAAGUCAGAUGUGAAAGCCCCGGGCUCAACCUGGGAAUUGCAUUUGAGACUGCGUAGCUAGGGUGCGGAAGAGGGAAGCGGAAUUUCCGGUGUAGCGGUGAAAUGCGUAGAUAUCGGAAGGAACACCAGUGGCGAAAAGCGGCUUCCUGGUCCAGCACCGACGUUCAGGCACGAAAGCGUGGGGAGCAAACAGG
rnacentral:rRNA from 1 species